GCCACCCUAGCUCAAUGGCAGAGCAAUCGCUUCGUAAGUGAUAGGUUAUCGGUUCAACUCCGAUGGGUGGCUC
rnacentral:tRNA from 1 species